AACGAACGCUGGCGGCAUGCCUAACACAUGCAAGUCGAACGAGACCUUCGGGUCUAGUGGCGCACGGGUGCGUAACGCGUGGGAACCUGCCCUUAGGUUCGGAAUAACUCCCCGAAAGGGGUGCUAAUACCGGAUAAUGUCUUCGCACCAAAGAUUUAUCGCCUUUGGAUGGGCCCGCGUUGGAUUAGCUAGUUGGUAGGGUAAAAGCCUACCAAGGCGACGAUCCAUAGCUGGUCUGAGAGGAUGAUCAGCCACACUGGGACUGAGACACGGCCCAGACUCCUACGGGAGGCAGCAGUGGGGAAUAUUGGACAAUGGGCGAAAGCCUGAUCCAGCAAUGCCGCGUGAGUGAUGAAGGCCUUAGGGUUGUAAAGCUCUUUUACCCGGGAUGAUAAUGACAGUACCGGGAGAAUAAGCUCCGGCUAACUCCGUG
rnacentral:rRNA from 1 species